rfam:Caenorhabditis elegans chromosome I
CCGUCGAUAGCUCAGUUGGUAGAGCGGAGGACUGUAGAGUUCGCAGAUAUCCUUAGGUCACUGGUUCGAAUCCGGUUCGACGGA